CAAAGGUUUGGUCCUGACCUUACUAUCAGCUCUAGCUGAACUUACACAUGCAAGUAUCCGCGCCCCCGUGCGAAUGCCCUACAGUUCCCCUACCGGGAGCAGGGAGCUGGUAUCAAGGCACAGACUUCCUGGCCCACGACACCUUGCUUAGCCACACCCCCACGGGUAGUCAGCAGUGAUAGACAUUAAGCCAUGAGUGAAAACUCGACUCAGUUAAGGCUAAGAGGGCCGGUAAAACUCGUGCCAGCCACCGCGGUUAUACGAGGGGCCCAAGUUGAUAGACAUCGGCGUAAAGCGUGGUUAAGGAAUACAACAACUAAAGCCGAACGGCCCCCUAGCUGUUAUACGCAAAUGGGGAUUUAGAAGCACAAUCACGAAAGUAGCUUUAUGAUACCUGAACCCACGAAAGCUAAGGCACAAACUGGGAUUAGAUACCCCACUAUGCUUAGCCGUAAACAUUGACAACUAAUUACACCCGUUGUCCGCCCGGGAACUACGAGCGUCAGCUUAAAACCCAAAGGACUUGGCGGUGCUUUAAACCCCCCUAGAGGAGCCUGUUCUAGAACCGAUAUUCCCCGUUCAACCUCACCCUUCCUUGCUCUUUCCGCCUAUAUACCGCCGUCGCAAGCUUACCCUUUGAAGGCUCAAUAGUAAGCGCAAUCGGCACUGCCCAGAACGUCAGGUCGAGGUGUAGCGAAUGGAGGGGGAAGAAAUGGGCUACAUUCCCUGGUUGCAGGGAACUACGGAUAGUGUGCUGAAAUGCAUACUUGAAGGUGGAUUUAGUAGUAAGCUGAAAAUAGAGUGUUUAGCUGAAACUGGCCAUGAAGCGCGCACACACCGCCCGUCACUCU
rnacentral:ncRNA from 1 species